GKGAGCUACUAMCAUGCAGUCGACGGUGAGCCAGCUUGCUKGGYGGAUCAGKGGCGAASGGGUGAGUAACACGUGAGCAACCUGCCCUGGACUCUGGGAUAAGCGCUGGAAACGGCGUCUAAUACUGGAUAUGAGACGUGAUCGCAUGGUCGUGUUUGGAAAGAUUUUUCGGKCUGGGAUGGGCUCGCGGCCUAUCARCUUGUUGGUGAGGUAAUGGCUCACCMAGGCGUCGACGGGUAGCCGGCCUGAGAGGGUGACCGGCCACACUGGGACUGAKACACGGCCCAGACUCCUACGGGAGGCAGCAGUGGGGAAUAUUGCACAAUGGGCGGAAGCCUGAUGCAGCAACGCCGCGUGAGGGAUGACGGCCUUCGGGUUGUAAACCUCUUUUAGCAGGGAAGAAGCGAAAGUGACGGUACCUGCAGAAAAAGCGCCGGCUAACUACGUGCCAGCAGCCGCGGUAAUACKUAGGGCGCAAGCGUUAUCCGGAAUUAUUGGGCGUAAAGAGCUCGUAGGCGGUUUGUCGCGUCUGCUGUGAAAUCCCKAGGCUCAACCUCGGGCCUGCAGUGGGUACGGGCAGACUARAGUGCGGUAGGGGAGAUUGGAAUUCCUGGUGUAGCGGUGGAAUGCGCWSAUAUCRKGAGGAACACCGAUGGCGAARGCAGAUCUCUGGKCCGUAACUGACGCUGAKGAGCGAAAGGGUGGGGAGCAAACAGGCUUAGAUACCCUGGUAGUCCACCCCGUAAACGUUGGGAACUASUUGUGGGGACCAUUCCACGGUUUCCGUGACGCAGCUAACGCAUUAAGUUCCCCGCCUGGRGAGUACGGCCGCAAGGCUAARACUCAAASGAAUUGACGGGGACCCGYACAAGCGGYKGGAGCRUGCGSAUUAAUUCGAUGCAACGC
rnacentral:rRNA from 1 species